rnacentral:rRNA from 1 species
UGCGUAACAGCUCACUAGUCGAGCGGUUGUGCGUGGAUAAUAACCGGGCAUCAAGUGUAUUGCCGAAGCUAUGGACUCUACGGAGUGGUAGGGGAGCAUUCCAUCGACGUCGAAGCCGAUUCGUGAGGAUCGGUGGAGUUUAUGGAAAAGCAAAUGUAGGUAUAAGUAACGAUAAGGCGGGAGAGUAACCCGCCCACCGCAAGACCAAGGUUUCCUGAUCAACGUUAAUCGGAUCAGGGUCAGUCGGGGCCUAAGGGUAAGCCGCAUGGUGAUCUCGAUGGACAAUCGGUUAAUAUUCCGAUACUGAUAUGAACUGCGACGGAGGGACGGAGAAGCGUAAGCUACGCCAACAGACGGAAUUGUUGGUUAAAGGGUGUAGGUAUAUGAUUCGGUUAAUAGCUGAUUCAUGCUGAAACCUGACAGUACCGAGCGGCUACGGCCAAUCGGAUAGUUAGCCCAAGCAAGCUUCCGAGAAAAACUUCUAAGUUCAGGUAUAUGGUACCCGUACCGUAAACCGACACAGGUGGUCGAGGAGAGUAUCCUCAGGUGCUUGAGUGAAUCACGGAUAAGGAACUAGGCAAAUUGACCCCGUAACUUCGGGAAAAGGGGUCCCUACGCAAGUAGGGCGCAGCGAAGAGGUCCAGGCAACUGUUUAACAAAAACAUAUGGCUCUGCUAAUUCGAGAGAAGAAGUAUAGGGCCUGACACCUGCCCGGUGCUGGAAGGUUAAGAGGGGAUGUCAGCGCAAGCGAAGCAUUGAAUCGAAGCCCCAGUAAACGGCGGCCGUAACUAUAACGGUCCUAAGGUAGCGAAAUUCCUUGUCGGGUAAGUUCCGACCUGCACGAAUGGUGUAAUGAUCUGGACACUGUCUCGUCCGUGAGCUCAGUGAAAUUGUAGUCCCGGUGAAGAUGCCGGGUACCCGCAACGGGACGAAAAGACCCCGUGAACCUUUACUGCAGCUUAACGCUGAAUUUGGGUGCAUAAUGUGUAGGAUAGGCAGGAGACUGCGAAGCGGUGCCGCCAGGUAUCGUGGAGUCAACGUUGAAAUACUGCCCUUUGUGUAUUUGAAUUCUAACCCCGCAAGGGAGACACCGUUUGGUGGGUAGUUUGACUGGGGUGGUCGCCUCCAA